CAAAAAGUCCAUAGCUGCUCCCAGGGUGUGGUGAAUGGAGUAAUGGCAGAAAUGGCUCAGAGUUGAUGGGAAGCUUUUGCCCUAGGGGCUCAAUGGACUGAAAAGUAUCUGCCAUCCAAAUGGAGAUGCACAGAGGAGGGAGUAAGGAGCUGUCAGCUAGAAGUGAAGGAUGGAGAGGGGCUGAGAGCAGGGCCUAAGAGCCUGGCUAGGAGAGGCAGUUGCAAAGCAGCUGUCUCAUCUUCGCCCUUCUAAUCACCCUCAUCAAAGGAUGAGAUCAGCCUGUGCAAUCUUCAGAGGACAGCCACUGCUUGUAUCCACAGAAUUCCCUGAAAAGUCAGCUGACUGUGGAUUGCUGGAAAUCCCUGCACAUUUUAUCACGCCUGGGUCAGCAAUAUAUUCUUGGCUUCAGGAACAUUGAUGUUGAAAAUUGAACAUCUGGUCUUCCCUUCCCACCAUUUCUCUCCCAAGUAAUCAGCAUUUCCUUCUUUGUCUCCCUGGCUUGAAUAGCAUUUAAAACUUGAAUUUGGUGUAUGUUAUAUUUGUUUGUUUCUGGAGCCAAUUUGAUUCUGUUUCCAGUUCUGAAAAUUUCCUAGCAAUGCCA